rnacentral:lncRNA from 1 species
CCCAAAUUUUGGCGGGAAAAUGGUGAAAAUGGGUGAAAUGUCAUUUUGACCCUUUGACAAAUACGGAUAAUAACGAAAAUAUUCUAUAAGUCACAUAACUUCAAUGAUUUAACAUUUCUAAUCAAACAAAAUAUUUAAAAAAAAAUUAUAUCGAAUUUACGACAAAUACUUUUGUAUUUCAUGCGUGAAAUUAUGCGCAGUCGAAUAGUCCCGAGCCACCUUAAUAU